UCCCUCUUAGCUCAGCGGUAGAGCGCUUCACUAGUAUAAGCUUGUUAAUGAAGAGGUCAGUCGUUCAAGUCGGCUAGAGGGAA